rnacentral:tRNA from 1 species
AAGUCUUAGCUAUUAAUAGCAUUUUGAUUUCGGCUCAAAAAGGAUGGGUUUAGUCCCAUAGGAUUUA